rnacentral:lncRNA from 1 species
AGGUGAAAUAAUUCGAACGUCUCCCUGGUGUUCCUUCUCCCUAACCCAUCUAUUUCAAGGUUAAAGAGUCAUGGACUGGAACCAGGAAAGUUUCAACCAGGAGAAUCAAGUUACAACUCUGAGAUUAAGAUCAUAAGUGGUUGAGUUAUUGGGAGGUCAAAAUCAUAGCACAGCAACAACUCAUCAGUAUCCGGGAUUAACAAAGACAUAGACACAAAUCUUGACGAACACUUCAGCCCUGCCUCCAGAAUGAAAGGGGGAAACCUAGACCUGAAUGGGCUUGACCAUCUCACAGCUGCUCACGUGAUGACCAUAUUCGUGGCAGGUAAAAAGAUUGCUGUAUCAACUCAAGAAAGCAGUAGCCUCACUGUCUUUGUAUUUUGAAUUGCAACAACAACUUUGAUAUCAACAAUGAAGCAAUGGUAUCUAAGAACAAAAGAGCAUUUGCCAAAAGUCAUCAUAAUAUCAAGUGAUUGUAUAAGCAGAAACAAGCUGUCACAGACCUGUGUGUCAGCUAACAUAAGGAGAAUGCUUUCUUCUGAUGCUAUUUAUUUACAGGCAGUUUUAAUAUAUAUCACUUCAAUUAUAUCUACAUCAAAU